rnacentral:tRNA from 1 species
GUUUUGAUAGCUUAAUCGCAAAGAGCGCAGUGUUGAAGCCGCUGAAGUGGGCGCCCAGCCCUCAGAACU